GGGGGGCGGGAGGAGGAGGAGGAGGCGGCGGCGACGAAUCCUGGUCCGGCUGGCCGGGUGUGCGAGCACUAGUGGGAGCUGGAGAGGGCGAGAGAGGAGGGGAGAGAGCCCCAAGGCACCCCGAUCCCGAGCGGAGCGGCUGCGAACCGGGCGGGAACGGGGAGUGCGCGGGAGGCAGGAGGGGCAGAGGAGGCGGCAGCAGCCCCGGCAGAGGAGGAGGCAGAGGAGGCAGCCCCGCGGAGCCUUCGCAGGCGGUGAGGACGGGUGGAGUUAAUUUCUUUUGUUCCUGAGAGCUGAAUAGGAGAAAGGGACAUUUCAGCUUUUCUUGAUAAAGAUUAUAUGAUCUUACUUAAACUGUGAGGCAAG
rnacentral:lncRNA from 1 species